GAUGAACGCUGGCGGCGUGCCUAAUACAUGCAAGUCGAGCGAACGGACGAGAAGCUUGCUUUUCUGAUGUUAGCGGCGGACGGGUGAGUAACACGUGGAUAACCUACCUAUAAGACUGGGAUAACUUCGGGAAACCGGAGCUAAUACCGGAUAAUAUUUUGAACCGCAUGGUUCAAAAGUGAAAGACGGUCUUGCUGUCACUUAUAGAUGGAUCCGCGCUGCAUUAGCCAGUUGGUAAGGUAACGGCUUACCAAGGCAACGAUGCAUAGCCGACCUGAGAGGUGGAUCGGCCACACUGGAACUGAGACACGGUCCAGACUCCUACGGGAGGCAGCAGUAGGGAAUCUUCCGCAAUGGGCGAAAGCCUGACGGAGCAACGCCGCGUGAGUGAUGAAGGUCUUCGGAUCGUAAAACUCUGUUAUUAGGGAAGAACAUAUGUGUAAGUAACUGUGCACAUCUUGACGGUACCUAAUCAGAAAGCCACGGCUAACUACGUG
rnacentral:rRNA from 1 species